AACUUUUAGUUAAUGUUGUACGGUUAAAUUGAAGGGCAGCACACAGAGAAGAUUAGCAUGGCCCCUGUGCAAGGAUGACAUGCAAAUCUGUGAAGCAUUCCAGAACAAA